rnacentral:rRNA from 1 species
GACGAACGCUGGCGGCGUGCUUAACACAUGCAAGUGGAGCGACGAAACGGGCUUCGGCCCGUGGCAAAGCCGCGAACGGGUGAGUAACACGUGGGUAACCCUGCCCCGAUGACCGGGACAACCCGGGGAAACCCGGGCUAAUACCGGAUGUGGUUCUUUCACAUGAGUGGAUGAACUAAAGAUAGGCUUCGGCCUUCGCAUCGGGAUGGCCGCGGCGCAUUAGCUGUUGGUGGGGUAACGGCCUACCAAGGCGACGAUGCGUAGCUGGUCUGAGAGGACGAUCAGCCACACUGGGACGUGAGACA